GAUGAACGCUGGCGGCGUGCUUAACACAUGCAAGUCGAACGGAAAGGCCCAAGCUUGCUUGGGUACUCGAGUGGCGAACGGGUGAGUAACACGUGGGUGAUCUGCCCUGCACUUCGGGAUAAGCCUGGGAAACUGGGUCUAAUACCGGAUAGGACCACUUCUUGGAUGUUGUGGUGGAAAGUUUUUUCGGUGUGGGAUGAGCUCGCGGCCUAUCAGCUUGUUGGUGGAGUAAUGGCCUACCAAGGCGUCGACGGGUAGCCGGCCUGAGAGGGUGUACGGCCGCAUUGGGACUUAGAUGCGGCCCAGGCUCCUACGGGAGGCCGAAGUGGGGAAUCUUGCACGAUGGGCGCCAGCCUGAUGCAGCGACGCCGCGUGGGGGAUGACGGCCUUCGGGUUGUAAACUCCUUUCGCUAGGGACGAUGCGUUUUGUGACGGUACCUGGAGAAGAAGCACCGGCUAACUACGUG
rnacentral:rRNA from 1 species